GGUCCCAUCGUCUAGUGGCCUAGGACAUCGCCCUCUCACGGCGGUAACACGAGUUCGAAUCUCGUUGGGAUCA
rnacentral:tRNA from 1 species